ensembl:snRNA U6 U6 spliceosomal RNA
AUACUCGCUUCAGCAGCAUAUAUACUAAAAUUGGAAUGACACAGAGACGAUUAGUUUGGCCCCUCAGCAAGGAUGACAUGCAAAAUUUGUGAAUUGUUUCAUAUUUUG